rnacentral:rRNA from 1 species
UACGGAGGGUGCAAGCGUUAUCCGGAUUUACUGGGUUUAAAGGGUGUGUAGGCGGGCUAUUAAGUCAGUGGUGAAAUCUCCGGGCUCAACCCGGAAACUGCCAUUGAUACUAUUAGUCUUGAAUUUUGUUGAGGUAGGCGGAAUAAGUCAUGUAGCGGUGAAAUGCAUAGAUAUGACUUAGAACACCAAUUGCGAAGGCAGCUUACUAAGCAAAUAUUGACGCUGAGGCACGAAAGCGUGGGGAGCAAACAGG